GAACUUAAAUCCCCUGCAUGCUCAUCAGAGGAGGCUCCAUAGAAGAUCAUGGACCUUGAACAAGGUGCAAGUAAGCCUAGAUGCAAUGCAAUGGAUUAGGGAUUCCAGGCUUGAAAACCAGUGGGAAGGAAGGGGUCAGGUGGGAGUGGUCCUCAGUUCCUGUGUGGGCUCUGGCAUCAGGCAGCACACAGGAGUCUUCCCUGCUGGUGGGGAGAGAAAGAGGCAGUAGAAGGGGUCCCGAGCUGGAAGGAUCAGCAGCCACUGCAGACUACUGAUGGAGGCAGUGCCAGGGAGGAAGAGGGUCGUGCCUAGUGGUGUCCAGGCAUUGGCAUGCAGGAGGCAGUCCAGGCACUAGUACCUGGGAGAGUUAAAACUGGGGGAAGGGAAGACAGCAGGGGAUUCUCACAAGGAAUGUGGAGCAGAGGCCCAGGCAGGGGGCCAUCAAGGUGGAGAGGACUGAACCUGGAAAUGGAAGCUUUCCAAGUCACACAUUGAAGAGUAUCAGCAAGGUCUUAAGCCCUGGAACAGUGAGGGAUGGCAUCAGGACAAACUGAGGUCAGUGAGUGUGUUAGCAGCAGACCAGGCUCCGAACGGCACAAACUCCGUCUGGGAUGGUGAAUCUAGCAGAAGACCUAGGAAGAAUUUGAAGAGGGUUCAGAGGUGAAUUAGGGAUGCUUGCAGCUUUUGUGUGGGCAGUGCGUUACUGGGGUGUAGUCCUCAUUGAAGGCCCAAGAUUCUGCCUCUAAGGGUGUAACUCUGCUGAAUCCAGCACCUGAGAGGCUGUCCAGAGCAGGCAGGAGGUCAGCUGUCAGUCUGUGGGCCCGGUUUUAGAGUCAAAGUGAAUUUCCAGUGGGGAAGACCAAAGCUGAAGUCCAUCCCCCAGAGGAUGAGAGAAAGGAAGGCUGCAGCUCAGGCAGCUCAGGGAGUCUGAGGCAGCAAAUGAGCUCUGGACCUUGAAGUGGGGAGAGGAAGUCCUUUCACCUCAUCACAGUGCUCACAUCACCUCAGAAACCAGGUGGGACACACAGCUGUGACAGGUGAGAGAUGAUUCCAUUGGUGCCUGGGAUACCAGAUUCAUGCUGGGAAGUAGGAUGGAUGUGGUGGUUUGCAAAAGGCUUUGUCUGCUAAAUUGAGGAUACUGGAUCAUACCCCAAGAGAAAGGGGAGCUCCAAUGGAAAAGCCACCUGCACCAUGAUGCUGCCUGUCACUUGACUGAGCGUUCCUGCUGCCCAGAAGCUCCUGUUGUCCUCCCAACUGACGGGAUGCUCUUGGACAGUGAUGCCAGCUGGAAUUAAGACUGGGUUUCCAAGGCCACUGUGACCACCAUGAUUAAUCAAUCCCUACUGCUAGGGCUCCAACAUGCCUCAGCCAGAAAGCUGUCAUCUCUUUCCUGGGAACAUUCCUUAAGAAAGAACCAUCAUGGGGUUGGAUGAAACUAAACUUGCAAAGAAGGUGAUGUGUAACCAAGUUGGAGUGUGGAGUGUGGGGUCAAAGAUGAUGGCAUGCUGUGUGGAUCCGCCGUGGUAGAAAUGGAGGUGAGGAGGAAGAAAUGAAUCCAGGAGGCAGCGUGACAGAAAACACAGACUUUGGUGACGACAUGUGAGAAGCUGUAAACUGAUAAGAAGAAAAGACGUCUCCAGCACGUUUGGGUUAGUGUCAUCAACCCAUGGAUCCUGCCCACAGCAAGACUGGGCCCAGUCACAACCCCCUUUCUAGCAAUGUGGAGAUAAAUGCCUUCAACAGAAAGGGUUGGGAAUCCCAUGUGACAGCCGAGCUCUGUUCUGCCUUUGACAGAGUCUGAUGCGACGUGGAUCAUCUCAGGGAUGUGCCUUGCUGGCUUCACCCACCUGGAGCCUCAGGGGAAGUCUCAGGUGGGAGAUGUUAAUUUGAGAGGCCUGGGUAUAAAAGUAAUCCCAAGAUGUCACAAGAUAGAAUAAUUUCUCUGAGGCACAAACAGGGAGAAAAACAAGAACAGAACCCCUUAGCAGGACACUCAUAAUAAGAAGAAUUAGGAAAAGAAAAGGGAACCCGGGGUGACACAAAACUGGGGGAGUCUGUUACCACAAGGUAGACGGCUACCUCCAGUUGGACAAAUUUCCAUGGACCACCAUGCAAUUUCUGGAGAUGCCGCCUUUGAUCCCCUCUUCUCCCUUUGCUCCUCCCUCAUCUCCACACUCAAAGUGCACAUUAUUCAGAUGUCCAGCACGCCCCUAAAUCAACUUGACUUCUCUUGUUCCUUGGCAGAUUCAAGGACCAGCCUUCAUUGGAUUUGGGGUGGAAGCUACAUGCUUGUGUCAAGGGUUGUAAUCCCAAGUCUGGUCCUGUUUUCUGCAAACAAUAUCAUUGUAAACACAUUGAAUGUGUCUGAAUGGGAUUCACAUAACCUAUUCAAAGGUUAAUAUCACAAGACUGAUACUGAGCUGGAAGCUCUGAAAUGUACUUGUGCUCAGGGAAGAUAUUUGCUAAUGUUUGGCUUUAAUUUCCCCUGGAACUUGUACACAUCAGUGAGGCCUG
rnacentral:lncRNA from 1 species